rnacentral:rRNA from 1 species
GACCGAGGAUGCAAGCGUUAUCCGGAAUGAUUGGGCGUAAAGCGUCUGUAGGUGGCUUUUUAAGUUCGCCGUCAAAUCCCAGGGCUCAACCCUGGACAGGUGGUGGAAACUACCAAGCUAGAGUACGGUAGGGGCAGAGGGAAUUUCCGGUGGAGCGAUGAAAUGCGUAGAGAUCGGAAGGAACACCCAAGGCGAAAGCACUCUGCUGGGCCGACACUGACACUGAGAGACGAAAGCUAGGGGAGCAAAUGGG